CGGAUCCUACCCCAACCCCCGCCACCACCACCAGCUCCACACUCCCCUUUGCUUCCCGCCGCCCGCCGAAGCCGUCUCCGGCGAGGACCCGACCGGCGACACCGCCUCUUCCCCGGCGGCUCGCCCGCGGCCAGGCGCGCCCUUUCCUCCCUACCCGCGCUCUGGCCCUGGCUCCUCCUCUCUUCGUCCGGGGCCCCGGGUCACCUCCUCGCGUCUGGUUUGGGUUCACUCCUCCUCGGUUCGUCGUCCGUCCGCUUAGGCUUAGAGCGCCCGAUUUGAUUUUGCUCGUGCUCGGUUCUUCGGUUCACAAGUCGCGCCUGGUUUGGUUUUUCUCGUCCUCGCCGUCGCCCGUUCGGGGCCGCGCCUGGUUUGAAUUCGCUCGUCCCUCGCCGUCGUCCGUGUAGAGUCGCGUCCGAUUCGAUUUCGCUCGUCCUCGCCGUCGUCCGUUUAGAGUCGCGUCCGAUUCGAUUUCGCUUGUCCUCGUCGUUGUCUUGGUGCGUGCGCUCGCAUGUUCUUUGGUCGUCUCCUCUCGCCGGGGUUCUCCGUCUCGUUUGCGAACUAGCAAUUCUUUCUACGUGCGCUUUCGUGUUCGCGUCAGUUGCAGGAACGAACGGGUCUGAUUUCGAAAUUGGAUUAGUUUAUCGUGCUAGUUGAGAUUGGUUCCGUCACCUGCGUUGCUCUUGGUGAUUUUCAGAACUCAAACGCAUGCUCUCUUGUGAUACUCUGUCAGUUCUUGUUGGCCCUCUGUCAGUUCUUGUUGGCCCUCUUGUCAAUUCUUGUUGGCCCUCUUGUCAAUUCUUGAGGGCCAGGGUCCGUUAAUUCUUGAUUGCUUGUUGUACCGGCUAGGCGUGUGUGCAGUCAUCCUAGGUGCAGAGACGCUUGUUCUGAUGGUGUAUACUGUUUAUGUUAUUUCCAAUUUGUUUCUUUUUACCAUGCUUUGCUGAUGUGUUCCGAGUUGAAAACUUUUACAAGAGUGCAAACCAUGUGGCCUACUUGACUAAUUGAACACCUGUUGCUGCACCUGUUGGACAAGGUUCCUUCUUUUGAUGCUGCUAUUUCCAUGUAACUACUCAUCAUAGGAGUACUAUAGAUGAGGUGCUGCUAGUUAGUUCUCCUUAGACUUCGUUCUAGAUUGCAUAGCAUAACUCCAGAAUUUUGUCAUUGCACACCUGGGCAUAUAUUUCUGUUGUGAGCAUAACUCCAGAAUUUAUUUAUCCAUGAAAGCACGUUCACCACAUGUUCUUUUAUCAAUGCUGCUAACUUCUGUCAUGUCCCUUUCCUUCGGACAACAAUUUCAACGAACCUCUAAUGUGGACAUGUGCUGCUUGUUUUCUUGUUUUCUUAUAUCCAGUUGACUAGCACAACUCUUAUGCUGUGACAUUUGUUAAUCCCCAGUUAGUGUGCCUGAAAAAUUAUUGCUUGUCCUGUUAAAUUUUGUGGCAUCAACUCGGUAUUGUGAUUAAUGACCUAGUAUUUGUUUAGUGUAGACAGCUAACUUAUUUUUUCUUAAAUUUUUAGUGAUAUGCGUGUUUUGUUAUGUCUUAUGUUGAUAGUAUAUUCUUUUUUUUGUAUUACUCAUGUCCAGUCACUAGAAUAAUGCUUUUCUUCAUUUGCCUAGACUUUGUGACAAUUAAUUUAUAGUGCGAUCAUUGAUUGUUGAUCAUUGAGCUUCUAACAUCCCAUUGCGUAAAAUUCUGUUGUAAUGUUUGUUGGAUCAUUGAGUAAUUAAUUGAUUCUGAGUUUGUUAGAUCAUUGAACUUCUGCGUGUGCUUCUGUUAUCUGAGAGACACUCACGAUCCUGUGUUUCGUGUUUGCGGUGGAGCGAUGAACAAUUACAUUUCGUGUUCCUGUGUUUCGUAUUUGCGGCGGAGUGAUGAACGAUUACGUUUCGUGUUCCUGCGUUUCGUGUUCGCCGUUCUGGUUUGAAGGAUUACAAAGGUAGGGAGAGGCCAAAGCAAGGUCAGUUUUAGAUUGUUUCCAUCGCUGCGUUGUUCGUCGGCGAUUUCUAGACCUCAAACGCAUGCCUCCGUGUGAUACUCUGGUUUGGCUCGCUGGUCGUUAUGGUUGUUCUUAUGUUCUUGCAUAACCCCAUCUUAUAGGCAGAGAUGGGGUGAUUCGUUAUGGUUCUUCUGAUGGUUGCUUAUGUUCUUUCCAAUUGGGUUCUUUUUGUAAUGCUUUGCUUAUGUUCCCAAUGUCUGUUUUUCCAUAUAUGGAGAUGUGUUCAGAGGUGCAAACCGUGUAGGCCGUGGUGUGUUUUAUACUAUCUAUGGUGUGUAGGCCGUAAUGAUUAUAUUGAUAUCACUUCUGUGCUAGUAUACUAGAUAUGGUGUGUUUUAUCCAAGUUAUUAACCACAUCUCUUACAAAUUUUCCUCACACCAGUACAUGUUUAUAUGACAGGAGUGAUUGAUGCCCUGACGAAUAUAAUCAUUUAUGCUAACUUGGUAUUGGUAUUUCUUGAUCAUAGGUACAAACUUGUGGAUCUGGACAUGUCACAUUUGCUCUUUAUUGUGUUGCUAAGGACACUGAACGGUCUGGCUGGGCCAAAUCAGGAAGUGUUGCUAUGGAUCAAAUCUGUAAUGGAAGAGAAUGGGAGUAACAUUACAACUGACCAACUUAAAGAUUAUGUAUGGAAGACACUGAAGACUGGAAAGGUUGUAGUGAUUAGAGAGAAGCUUGCAGGACUUUAUGAAUCUGAACAACAAUGGUUGAGAGCAACACAAAUGCUUAGUGGCAUUGAGUUGGACUCAGGAAUCAGGUUGAAACAAGCUUCUGUCUCUCUUUACAUGUCAUUGGAUUUUCUUUCUUUUUUUUUUCGAGAAAACGCAAAGGACUCUUUGCGUUUCAUUUCAUUGAAAAGGUGAGAAGAUACAAUCCUCCUAGGAGGUGGUGGUUACAUGGAUUGGCCACCUAUCAGUGGACAUCCCAGUUAUAGGGGAGGACUACCCUGAGACCCAAAGCGCCAGCUUGUGCCCAACAUGUGGCUUCGGCCUUAAUCUUAUCUACGAGUACGGUGACCGAGGGGCGCGCGUUCUCGAAGACGCACUCAUUGCGGUGUUUCCAGAUCAUCCAAGGGACGAGCAUGGCGAUGGAUUGCAGGCCUUUCCGUAGCGCGUGUGGGGUCUGCCCUUUCGUACGUUGCCACCAGUCCGUGAGGGUGGGUUCGUUGCUUGGCGGUUGAGAAGGUAUCCUCGCCCAAGCCAGCACGUCAUGCCAGACCUGCCACGAGAACGGGCAUUCUAGGAGCAGGUGCCACAUCGUCUCUGGGGCCUGAUCACAAAGAAGGCAUCGUGGGUGGUGUUGUAGGCCGCGACGGGCGAGUCUGUCUGCCGUCCAACACCGGUCCUGGCUAGCCAGCCAAUGAAAGAAAUGGACACGGCGUGGUGCCCAGCUCUUCCAGGUAAGCUUCCAGGAAGGGCAUUUCAUGGAUCCGUGGAAGGUUGCGGCGUAGCAUGACCGUGCCGUAUAAGUGCCACUGGCCGUCCAUCUCCAGAGCAUGCGGUCGGGCCGGUUUGACAAGUCGAUGUGCUGCACUGCCUGCCAAAGUCUGAGAUAUUGGCCAAUCUCAUGGAUCCCUAUCACUCCUUGAAUGCCACGGGCCCAGGCAUUGCCCGCUAGGCCGGCGGCCACCGUUCUUGACUUGCGUUGCCGUUUGGGGAUGCAUUGGUAGAGUGCCGGUGCAAAUUCACGCACGGACUGACCGUUUAGCCAUCGGUCAUCCCAAAACAGCGCCGUUUGUCCAUCGCCGAGCUGCAUGAUCGUCGAGGCGAAGAACAACGCACGCUCCUCGCUGGAAAACUGGAGGUCGAGGCCUCGCCAUGCGCGGUCGUCGUCCGUGUGGGAGAGCCACAUCCAGCGCAGGCGCAGCGCUAGGCCAGCACGCUCCAGAUCCUGGACCCCGAGUCCGCCGUACUCGAGCGGGCGGCACACCCUUCGCCAGUUGACGUGGCAGUGUCCACCAUUGGCAGCAGCUCGCCCAGCCCAGUCUGGGAAAUCUGACCAUCUUCUUAAAAACCAGGAUGCUUGAUGACACAAACAAAUUAUCCAAGUGUGUCCAGAUUGCAUGACUCUAUUUGAAGGAUGAUGAUGCAGUGAAUGCUGAAGCUUUUAUCAACAAAGCCUCGUUUUUGGUCACAAACAACAACCAGGAAGUUCUGAACUUACAAUACAAGGUCUGCUAUGCGAAAAUUUUAGAUCUAAAGCGUAAAUUCUUGGAAGCUGCACUUCGAUACUCUGGUAUCUCUCAAAUUGAGCAAUGCCAAAUUGGGGAUGAGUAAGGAUUACUCCAUUCAGUUGUAGAUUUGCUUCUCUCUUCUGCAGUUUACUCCCUUUUAAUGUUCUGUCUUGUAUGGUUUUUUGUUGACUUGCCGGUGUAGUCUCAGUGAAACGUAUUAUUAUUCCCUUUCAGGAACGAAGAUAUGAAUCACCCUCACCCCUCUAGAGAAAUCAGUUUACUCAUUCAAGUUUUGGAGUUUCAUAGUUUUCUGAGUUUAUUUCAGUCUUGCAUGAAUGCAUGUAUUAGCUUUCUCUUUGUGCCCCUAUCUAUGCCUAUUUCUUGUGUGCAAGCGCUCCAUUCUGUGUGUGUGACUAUGUGAUUUGAUGGUGAAUAUGUGUGUGGCUUGACUAUGUGAGUGUGGCUUGAUUAUGUCGUGGCUUGAUUGUGUGUGUGGCUUGGCUGUGUGUGUGAGAUUGUAUGUGGCUUGACUCUGUGUGUGUGAGGGCUUGAUGGUGAAUAUGUGUGUGGCUUGACUCUGUGUGUGUGACUCUGUGUGAAUAUUGCAUUUUCUUGAUGGUGUGGCUUGUAUAACUUGUGUUCUAUAUGUCACGAUUGAUUGUUGUUUGUUGAAUGUGAACAGACCUAACACUAUUCUUUUUUCUGAACUUUUUUGUGAUUAUGUCUUAUGUGGAUAUCAUACUCUUUUUUGUAUUACUGCUGUCUUGGAAUAACGCUUUUCUAAGUAUUUAAGGUGCAGACAUGUGGAUCUGGACAUGUCAAAUUUGCUCUUUAUUGUGUUGCUAAGGACACUGAUGGGUUGGGUUUGCAUACAACGCAGUAUGGACCAACAACAUGGUCUCAUUGCAAGGCGGAGAUAUAGGCAACCAAUGUCAAGAGCGGUGGCAUAAUCAUCUGAAUCCAGACAUACAGAGAGAUGCUUGGACUAUUGAGAGGAGGAGCAUGCACUGAUUAACGCCCAUUGGGUACAUGGGAAUAAAUUGGCAGAAAUAGCAAAAGUUCUUCCUAGAAGGUUCUUCUCACCUAUAGCUAAAGUCAAAGACGACAAACCAAGUGAAUUAAUGGAGUUGCAAGAUACACAGAAUCAUCGGCUAGCCAUCAGCUUGGAAGUCAUAAGAGGCAACCACUGUUGUCAACUUGAAACGUAUAAUUUUUUAGGAACGAAGAUCUGAAUCAUCCUCACGCCUCGAGAGAAAUCAGUUUAGUCAUCCAUGUCCUGAAAUUUAUUUAUAGCUUUCAGAGUUUACUUUAGUCUUGCAUGUAUUUGCUUUCUGUUUGUGCGCCUAUCUAUGUCUGUUCUUUUUGUUGUGUGCAAGCGCUUCAUUUUGUGUGUGUGACUGUCUGACUGUGUGGCUUGACUUUGUGACUAUGUGUGUGGCUCUAUAUGAAUAUUGCAUUUGACUAUGAUGUGUGACUGUAUUUGCUUUCUGUUUGUGCGCCUAUCUAUGUGUGUUUGUCUGUGUGUGUAUGUGCGACUCUGUGAAUAUUGUGCAUUUGACUGUGAUGUGUGACUGUGUAUGUGACUCUGAAUAUUUCAUUUGACUGUGACUUUGUGUUUGUGUGUGUGUGUGACUGUGUGUGUGGCUUGUAUGCUUUGCUGAAUGAUUGGUUGUUGUGGCCUAACACUGCCUUUGCCGGUCCCAAGCCUGGAUGUGAAAAUGUGGAGGGAGCUGCAGUUACCUCCUUUGUAUUGUUUUCCUUAGAAGUGUGGAUAGAAAUUUGUGCGUGACGGCAAAUAUUGCAUUUGACUGUGAUGUGUGACUCUGUGUGUGUGACUCUGAAUAUUGUGCAUUUGACUAUGAUGUGUGACUAUGUGUGUGACUAUGAAUAUUGCAUUUUGAUUGACUUUGUGUGUGUGUGUGUGUGGUUUGUGUGUGUGUGACUGUGUGUAGCUUGACUGUGUGUGUUGCUUGUAUGCUUUGCUGAAUGAUUGGUUGUUGUGGCCCAACACUGCCUUUGCCGGUCCCAAGCCCGGAUGUGAAAAUAUGGAGGGAGCUGCAGUUGCCUCCUUUGUAUUGUUUGCCUUAGAAGUGUGGAUGGAAAUUUAUGUUUUAGGUUAUUGUCCUAAUCGAAUAGUGCAUCUUAACAUAAUGUGGGAUUCAAGCUUGAAAUGCGCAGCCAACUCCGCCUCCGCCUUCAUAAGUCAUGGGUCAAUCGUUAAUACGACGUCUGUGGUCCGGUCGACCCGCUGUCCAACCUUGCUACCUCUCCGAUCCAACCGGAGUUUGUGCAAAGUGCGUCUGGACUUCCCAUGUCCGCCCCGCCCUCAAUCUUCCCUUUUUAGCUCUAAUUUUUCCCUUUUUUUCUUCCCUCACGCGACUCCUUCUGUUCUGCCCCCUGUCGAUCCCCCCAAUCUCACCUUCCGAACGCAGCCAACUCCGCCUCCGCCUCCUUCGUGUGGCCAGCAGCGGCACACACCACGCGUUUUUCGCUGAGAUUGUUGCAUGACAGGAUCGACGGUGGCAGGCGGGUCUGCCGCCCCAACGACAGUAUGGCCUGGCCUGAACCCUGAGGAGUGUGGGGCUCAGCGACGUCUUUUGCUUUCUGAUUAUUGAUUGAUUUGUUCCUCACAGUAAUUUUUUAUGACAUUUCAUGAUUUUUUUUCCAGUUUCGUAGCAUAAUGUGUGUUCCUCACAGGCUAGAAACGCAAUUAACUCAAUCCUGUGAAUAUGUAGUUUAUAGGCAGGUGUGUACAGUUAGGCUCAAGUUUCAUAGUGUAAAACUCUCAUCUUGAUAUGCCAAUUUUGUCAUUUAUGUUGCAUGGCCGAUUUGGCAUCCAAUCCAAUGCAUCCCAUGCCUAUCUUAUUUAUCUCAGUCAUCAGAGCAUCCAAUCCAAUGCAUUCCAUGCCUAUCUUAUUUAUCUCAGUUAUCAGAGCACCCAUUUUUGUGAUAUGUGUGUUUGGAUAUCAUAUUCUAUUUUUGUAUUACUGUUGUCCAGUCAUUGGAAUAGUGCUUUUCUGAGUAUUUAAGGUACAUACAUGUGGAUAUGGACAUGUCACAUUUGCUCUUUAUUGUGUUGCUAAGGACACUGUUCCUACAGCAGUGUCUGAACAUGGCACAGUUCCAACAUCAACUCAAUCAUGGGGCGCAUCUGCAACAAUUGGAUAUUUUCAUCCAGCUCCUGUACCAGCACAAGCAUCACAAGUUUAGAACUCUGAUAUAGUUUCUUGCAUCAUUGAUACUUAUUUUUAUUCAGUUACAGAUGGAUCCUUCUUUGCAUACUGGAGCACUCUCUGGUUCGAACUAUGUUCCACCUGCAGCAUUUAGUGUUGGUAGUGUAUCUGAAGCAUUUCCUACAGACACAAAACACUCUUUUCAAUGUUGCAAAACGGUCAAAGAAAGUAGGUUUUGUAGUUCCAUUUAUUUCACUUGCUUAUCAUCAUAGCUGUUUAACUUUAGCUGGUUCUUGUGCUCGAUCAUGCACCCGCCUCCACUACCUAACUGGCUUCGAGAAGAGCUUCUAAAGAAAAAAUCAACUCUAGUGAGUGCUUCAGUGCAACAUCCGACAAAUUCUGAUUCCAUGGAAUCUGAAGAUGCCGCAGAACCACCAAAAAGAGCUAAGCAAACUGGCAGUAGAAGCAUUGGUACAACAAAAUCAAUCGAAGUUGAUGAGGAUGAAGUCGAAGCGGCACGGAUGGCAUCAGUCAACAAGGAAAUUAAACGUGUGUUGACAGAAGUUCUUCUGAAGGUUUCUGAUGAUCUUUUUGAUGAGACCGCAACCAAAGUUAUGAAUGAAGAUGAUUUAUGAGCUGAGCCAAAUGAGACCACUGGUGUCUCUAGCUCAAGGAGCUUGGUCUGGGAGAAUCAAAAGUCGAGACCACAGCUAAGUUGUAGUCCCUGCUAAGCCAAACAAUGUUGGCUCUACUGGUCAUUCUGAUGGUACUGGGCUAAGUUCUCCUAAAGGUGCUCUUCUUGGUCUUGCUAGUUAUGAUUCAGAUGAUGAGGGUGAUGGUGAUGGUAAAGGUUUAAUUCCAAAUUUAUCAUCUGAAAUUAAAGUUGGUGCAGCUCAUCCUAAAGAAAGUAAGUUCUUGAAAAACACAAAGCGGACAUGGUUUCCCAGAAUUUAUUUUCUAGAGAAGGAAGAGCUUAUAUUAGCUUUGAUCUUGCAUGUAUAUUUUUGCCCCUAUCUAUGUAUGUUUCUAUCCAUUUCUUGUGUGCACGCGCUCCAUUGUGUUUGUGUGUGUGACUGUGUGUGUGAUGUGCCCCUAUCUAUGUCUGUUCCUCUCUGUUUCUCGUGUGCAAGUGAUACAUUGUGUGUGUGUGUGUGUGUGUGUGUGCAAGUGCUACAUUGUGUGUGUCUGACUGUGUGUGUGUGAUUUGCCCAUAUCUAUGUCUGUUUCUUUGUCUUUCUUGUGUGCAAGCGCUUGAUUUUGUGUGUGCUUGUGUGACUGUGUGUGUGUGUGUGUUGCAUUUGCUUGAUGGUGUGGCCUGUGUGCUUUGCUGAAUGAUUGGUGUUGUAUAACUUGUGUUUUGUAUUGUUGUGGUUUAACACUGCCUUUUGCCGGUCCCAAGCCCGGAUGCGAAAAUGUGGAGGGAGACGCAUUUACCUCCUUUGUAUUGUUUGCCUUAGAAGUGUGGAUAGAAAUUACUCUGUCCUAAUUGAAUAGUGAAUCUUCACAUAAUGUCGUAGCAUGUGAUUCAAGCUCUGAAAUGCAUCCUUCCUUGCUAUGAAAAAUCUAGUAGGUGUAAUUGUCGCUAGAAUUUGUGCCGUCUCCUAAAUUAAUCUCGUUGGUUUCUUAAAUCUUGUCAGCACCGAUGUUCUUUUCUGCUAAUAUAUACACUUUUCUAAAGAUCAAUCAUCUAUUUUUUAUUUGGCUUUAGGUUGAAUAUUGUGGUUGUCUAAUCAUGCAGGAAUCUCCGCGUCGCACGUGCCCCUCAUCUGUCUGUCACAAGUGUGUGUCGGGUUUAUUUGUUGUUGGGCUAUUUAUUCAGGUUGUGGGUCGCCCACUCCUUGUUUGGACUCCGACCCAUGUGGGGGGUGUCAGUUUCAGUUAUGAGGCAUUUCUAGAGGGGGUGACCUAGAUAGAUAGAUAGAUAGAUAAA